rnacentral:hammerhead_ribozyme from 1 species
AUCCAGUUGACGAAUCCCAAAUAGGAUGAAGGGACGCGUGUCCCGGAU